UUUAUCCUACGGGGGGCAGCAGUGGGGAAUAUUGCACAAUGGGGGAAACCCUGAUGCAGCGACGCCGCGUGAGUGAAGAAGUAUUUCGGUAUGUAAAGCUCUGUCAGCAGGGAAGAAAAUGACAGUACCUGGACAAGAAGCCCCGGCUAACUACGUGCCAGCAGCCGCGGUAAUACGUAGGGGGCAAGCGUUAUCCGGAUUUACUGGGUGUAAAGGGAGCGCAGGCGGCGUGGCAAGUCAGAUGUGAAAACCCGGGGCCCAACCCCGGGAGUGCAUUUGAAACUGCCAUGCUGGAGUGCCGGAGG
rnacentral:rRNA from 1 species